AGUGAACGCUGGCGGCGUGCCUAAUACAUGCAAGUCGAACGGAGUGGCGCACGGGUGAGUAAUGUAUAGCUAAUCUGCCCUCCACUAGAGGACAACAGUUGGAAACGGCUGCUAAUACUCUAUAGUGUAGGAUGAGGCUAUAUUGUAUCAGCUAGUUGGUGAGGUAAUGGCUCACCAAGGCUAUGACGGAUAACUGGUCUGUGAGGAUGAUCAGUCACACGGGAAGUGAGACACGGUGCAGAGUCCUACGGGAGGCAGCAGUAGGGAAUAGUGCUCAAGGGGGGAAACCGUGAAGCAGCAUCGCGGCGUGGAGGAUGACACUUUUCGGGGCGUAAACUCCUUUUGUUAGGGAAGCGGUACCUAACGAAUAAGCACCGGCUAACUCCGUGCCAGCAGCCGCGGUAAUAC
rnacentral:rRNA from 1 species